rnacentral:rRNA from 1 species
GACAGAGGGGGCAAGCGUUGCUCGGAAUUACUGGGCGUAAAGAGCGCGCAGGCGGUCGUUCAAGUCGAGUGUGAAAGCCCCCGGCUCAACUGGGGAGGGUCAUUCGAUACUGAUCGACUCGAAGGCAGGAGAGGGAAGUGGAAUUCCCGGUGUAGUGGUGAAAUGCGUAGAUAUCGGGAGGAACACCAGUGGCGAAGGCGACUUCCUGGCCUGUUCUUGACGCUGAGGCGCGAAAGCUAGGGGAGCAAACGGG